rnacentral:rRNA from 1 species
GACGAACGCUGGCGGCGUGCUUAACACAUGCAAGUCGAACGGAAAGGCCCUGCUUUUGUGUGGUUCUCGAGUGGCGAACGUGUGAGUAACCCGUGAGUCACCUUCCCUUUACUUUGGGAUAACUUCAGGAAACUGCUGCUACUACCUGCUAGGUGCUCCUGCUGCAUGGUGGUGUUUGGAACGUUUAGGCGGUUGGGGAUGUACUCGCGGAUUAUCAGCUUGUUGGUUGGGUAGUGGCUUACCCAGGCGUUGGCGGGUAGCCGGCCUGAGAGGGUGAACGGGGACAUGGGGACUGAGAGACGGACCAGACGGGUACGGGAGGCAGUAGGGGGGAGUAUUGCACAAUGGGGGGAAGUCUGAGGAAGCAACGCCGCGUGCGGGAAGAAGGCCUUGGGGUGGGAAACCGCUGUAGCCUGUGACGAAGCGGGAGUGACGGUAAUGGGUAAAGAAGCACCGGCUAACUACGUG